AUGAGCCACCGCGUCCGGCCAUUAGUCCAUUUUCAUGCUGCUGAUAAAGACAUACCCAAGACUGGAGAGAAAAAGAGGUUUAAUGGGCUUAAAGUUCUACACGGCUGGAAGGGCCUCACUAUCAUGGCAGAAGGCAAGGAGGAGCAAGUCAUGCCUUACAUGGAUGGUGAUAGGCAAAGAGAGCCUUUGCAGGGAAACUCCUGUUUUUAAAACUAUCAGAUCUCUUGAGACUCGAUCAGUAUCAGGAGAACAGUGCAGGAAGGACCCACCCCCAUAAUGCUAUCACCUCCCACCAGGUCCCUCCUACAACACAUGGGAACUGUGGUAGUUACAAAUCAAGAUGAGACUUGGGUGGGGGCACAGCCAAACCGUAUCACUGUUUUAUGUCAUUUGGACUCAGUGUGUGAUGAACCAAAUAUAUGGAUUUAGGUAUUUGGGAAGAUGAGAAGGAAAAUCAUACUUUCUCAAAAAACCUUAGGCUUAUAUCUUAAGGAGUUUUGGAUUUGUUUUACUAUUUUUAUUCUUGUAAUAUGAGAUUUAUGUUAUAGAGAGCUCAUAGACAACCACCCUGCCUAAAAUAAACAAUUGCCAGAAUGGAUCUUUUAGGAAUUCUUGAAACUUAUCUGAGUUCAGGAGAUAAAGUCAGAGUCUUGAGAAUGGAGAUAAUUCAGUGGAAGAGAGAACUUGCAGGAGAAAGUUUCUCAGCUCUGUUUUCUCGCAUUCACUUCUAGAGGACCUUGAAGGUUUCUGACAUCCCCUGGGUGUGUUAGGCACUUUCCUCACCCUUAAGAAUGCAGAAUUCAGUAUAAAAACAAUUAUUCCUAAAUUGUGUUGUCAAUGCCUGACAUUUACAUGCAUAGAAUUUGGACCUCUCCCAGGGUGCAGGUCUUCACUGUGAAUAAGGCAGCGCUCUAACCUCAGGCAGAGUAAGAUUUUCAAACCAAGCAGGCUGCUGCAGUCUGAAGGACCUAAAAAUACCUUUUUCAGGGAUCUGCAUCUUCAGAUGGUAAUCAAACUUUUAGUAAGGGGAUUUUUUUGGUUUUUUUGGCAAAAAAAA